UGGGGAAUCUUGCGCAAUGGGCGAAAGCCUGACGCAGCAACGCCGCGUGCGGGAUGAAGGCCUUCGGGUUGUAAACCGCUUUCAGCAGGGACGAAAUUGACGGUACCUGCAGAAGAAGCCCCGGCCAACUACGUGCCAGCAGCCGCGGUAAUACGUAGGGGGCGAGCGUUGUCCGGAUUUAUUGGGCGUAAAGAGCUCGUAGGCGGUUGGGUAAGUCGGGUGUGAAAACUCAGGGCUCAACUCUGAGACGCCACUCGAUACUGCUCUGACUCGAGUCCGGUAGGGGAGCGUGGAAUUCCCGGUGUAGCGGUGAAAUGCGCAGAUAUCGGGAGGAACACCAGUGGCGAAGGCGGCGCUCUGGGCCGGAACUGACGCUGAGGAGCGAAAGCGUGGGUAGCAAACAGG
rnacentral:rRNA from 1 species